rnacentral:rRNA from 1 species
UACGCAGGGUCUAAGCGUUGUUCGGAAUCAUUGGGCGUAAAGCGCGCGUAGGCGGAUCAGCACGUCAGCUGUGAAAUCUCGGAGCUCAACUCCGAAACUGCGUCUGAAACUGCUAGUCUAGAAUGUCGGAGGGGGCAGGGGAAUUUCACGUGUAGGGGUAAAAUCCGUAGAGAUGUGAAGGAACACCGGAGGCGAAGGCGCCUGCCUGGACGACUACUGACGCUGAGGCGCGAAAGCGUGGGGAGCAAACAGG